ensembl:piRNA 21ur-6519 ncRNA
UAAUUUCAGGAUUUGAAUGCU